GACGAACGCUUGCGGCGUGCCUAAGAAAUGCAAGUCGAGCGAGGUUAGGAGCUUGCUCCGAAGCCUAGCGGCGAACGGUCGAGUAACACGUAGGCAACCUGCCCCAAAGCGGGGGAUAGCCCACCGAAAGGUGGAUUAAUACCGCAUGUGGUCAUAUUUGGGCAUCCUUAUAUGACUAAAGCAGCAAUGCACUUUGGGAUGGGCUUGCGGCCUAUCAGCUAGUUGGUGAGGUAACGGCUCACCAAGGCGACGACGGGUAGCUGGUCUGAGAGGAUGGUCAGCCGGACUGGGACUGAGACACGGCCCAGACUCCUACGGGAGGCUG
rnacentral:rRNA from 1 species